GCGCCCGCGGGUACCGGCUGUGCGUGCGGACCGCAGAGCGCCUUUCGUGCCGAGGAGGGCUGCAGCUACGGGGGGGUGGUUUUCCAGUUAAAUUUCGGGGUUUGUUUUCGGCGAAAUCGCGUGUUUGGCUGAUCUUAAAAAAAAAGAAAAAGAAAAAGAAAAAGAAGUUAGAAACAAGGCGAUAUAAUUGGAUGCGUGCAAAGAUGUGCACGUGUUCGUAUUUGUGUAUUGAUUGCUGUUAUAUGCUGUCUAGAUUGCAGUACGUAAAUCUAAUGGGUGUUAUGCACACAGGAACGCAUGGAGUACACCCCAUGCGCACAGCACAGAGGUUGGAAUCCAGCUUUAACUCAAAGGCCUGAAAUAAGCAAGAUCUGGUGUUUGGAUGGAAGACAAAUUUCUUAUAUGGACCAGUGGAGGAGAAGAGGAGAAACAUAGUGCAUCUAAACUGGAAUGAAAAAGAAUUCCCAGAAGGUAAAAGCCUUAAAUUGCUGCAAGAAAUACAGCAAGAAAUGUUGAUCCUUGAGGCACAUGAAUGUACUCAGCAAGAACUUUGGCAGUCUUAAUGGUUUCUGAAUACUGGAUCUAGGCUCUGUAAAUGAUAGACUUGCUCCAGUAAAAUUGCAAAAGCCUCAGAGUGAACUGAAUUUGCACAUUUGGCUACUUGGCAUGACCUGAAUUUCAUACCACUGGUGGCUCCUCCAGUUCUUCGCAGAGGAGAGUUCUCAUCAGUUUCUGCCACUAGGUGUCCCUGUAUGUGUGCGGGAAAAUCCUGAUGGAAACAUUAACUGAAGGGGGAGAAGAAAUUGAGCAGGAGGAGUAGAAAAGAUGAUAGUAAACUUCCUUCAUGGUUUUGAGUUCUGUUUGACAACUGUCUUGCAUAUUACUGAAGAGAAAACAUGAAUGGAUUCAUGAUUGUGCAGUUAUA